UUGCGAAACAGUCCUUCUAUUUUUUCCGACCAAUCCCGCGGUCCUCCGCUCCCGACAUAGAACUCCGUCGCUCACCAUUCUUGCUCGCCCGCUCGCCGUCUUGGCUCUCCGACGCCGCCCCCCACCGCCUUCCUCCCUCCCCCGCCCCACGCCGCCUUCCUCCCCCGAACCACGCUGCGAUGCUGCCGGCUCGUCCCCCUCCUCGUUCCCCACCGUCUCAAGCUUCAAUUUUUGCCACAUCGCCGGUGGUUGAUCUGCCGGCAGAAUUGCGGGCGGCGGCCUGGAGCGGCAGUACGCAAGCUCUGACUCCAUACCGAGCCAGCCGGCACACCCGCCAAGGAGCUCCGCCAGCCGCUGCCCUAGCGCCCGCGGCCGUCAAUGCGUGGUCGGGCGCCGCGUCGAUGUUGCCGCUGCUCGGCGCCGCCGUCGCCGACUCGUGGCUCGGCCGGUACCGCACCAUCGUCGCCUCCUUCGUUAUCUACAUCACGUGGCACAAAGGCGAGCUACCUUGGCGUGCAGAAGAGGCCCCCGUCCCUUGCCUUGUGCCCGGCGACCAACAACUGCGUGUCGACGUCCGAGAGGAUAAGCAAUUCCAAUCACUACGCUCCCCCAUGGGACGCACGGAAUUGCUCCUUUCCCUUUCUCUGCUUCUUUUCCUUUCUUUGCUUGGAGGGCGCUGCUGCUCUUCUUUCUCUUUCUCUGCUUCGAAGGUGGUGGUGGUGCUGCUACUGCUUGUAGAGUACUGCUGCUUGGAGGAUGUUGCUGGUCUUCUUUCCCUUUCUCUGCUUGGAAGGUGCUGCUGCUCCUCUUUCUCUUUCUCUGCUUCAAAUGUAGAAAUGUCAGUUCAGUGUGUAAUAUGAAUCUUUUUUGCCUUUAUAAAUUGCAGAAGAAGAAAGGUAAAUUUCAGCAUUCUAGCUUUCUUGCUGGGGGAGCUACAUCUGCUGCUAGGAAACUGGUUGCUCAAAAUGGGACUCUGAAGGCUAUUUGGCCUCACAGUGGCCACUAUCGCCCCACAGAGGAGAACUUCCAGGAGUUUAAAAGCUUCCUCAAUGACAACUUGGUUGAUCUCACUGAUGCACCUGAAGAAACUGGCUCUCUUCAGACAACUCAAGUCAUUCAAACAACAUCUACAGAGACAGAAAAACGUGAGGAACCAGUGGUGGCGCGCGAGAAGAUCCUUCAGAGGAGAUGGUGGUAGCAGCUGCACCCCUGUGGUAGCAUCAGCAUCUACAGAAGAACCAGUGGUAGCAUCAACAUCAACAUCAACAUCUACAGAUCGUUCAGAGGAUCAACAUCUAUAGAAGAACCUGUGGUAGCAGCUGCACCCCUGUGGCCACGAACCUUGCCGUGGAGAUGCAGGGACACCUUCCCACGCUACAGCAAGGAGGAGAGGAAGAUGGAGCCGCGGCGGAAGAUGGAGCUGCGGCGCCUGAGCCUGGCAGCGGCGGAAGAUGGAAUCGCGGCGCCUGAGCCUGGCAGCGGCGUGAGAUGGAGCCACGGCGCCUGAGCCUGGCAGCGGCGGAAGAUGGAGCCACGGCGCCUGAGCCUGGCAGAGGCAGAAGAUGGAGCCGCGGCGCCUGAUCCUGGCAGCGGCGGAGACGGAGCUCGAUGUGCUGGAGUCACCGGCGCUAUCUUGCUGCCGGAGACGGAGCUCGAGGUACUCGGAGGUGGGGAGCUCGAGGUGCUGGGUGCGGGAGCUCGAGGAGCUGACGCCGGCGACGGGGUCCUAGUGCUAGGGAUGGAGCUCGAGGUUCUGGCCGGCGGGAGAUCGAGGUUCUGGCCGGCGGACGGAGGUUCCGCGCGGUGGAUCGCGACGAGCGGACGGAGAACUGGGUACUGGAUUGUAAUGAUUUCAAAUUUCGGAAGGGCCUUAUUGUAAAAUUGAUUUGUUCACGAUUCCGCCUCCCCUGGAGUCAUCUAUUACCGAACGGAGGGAGUAUUUGGUAAAUUAUAUCUGUAGUUCCUUUGUUAGUUAUGUAACCUCAGGCGUGCAUUGAGAACUAUGAUAAUGUCAGUGGUUGUGUUGCAAGGUUCUGUAAUAUCAAGUGUUGUCCUGAUCGACCCUUUGUGUA